rnacentral:rRNA from 1 species
UACGUAGGGUCCGAGCGUUGUCCGGAAUUAAUUGGGCGUAAAGGGCUCGAUAGGCGGUUCGUCGUACGUCGGGAGUGAAAACUCGGGGCUUAAACCCCGGAGCCUGCUUCCGAUACGGGCAGACUAGAAGGUAGGCAGGGGAGAGGCGGAACUCCUGGUGUAGCGGUGGAAUGCGCAGAUAUCAGGAAGAACACCGGUGGCGAAGGCGGCGUCUCUGGGCCUUACCUGACGCUGAGGAGCGAAAGCGUGGGGAGCAAACAGG